UUUGGCCUUAAAGGCCAUCUUUUGAAUCAUUAUAAAUUAAAAUGUAGGUAAAAUAUAACAAUGCCUUGACGUUUUCCAAAUUUUUCGUAUUGUAGUUUUCAUUUUUAGAUAUUCAAAAUGGGGUGUAUAUUCUGUACACUAGGAUCGGCAUUUUCGGUUAUUUUAGAUGCAUUGGAAAGGAUAUCUAUGUGGACAGUAUGUGCGAUAUUAACUUGUUGCUUAGCACUUACUCUUAUAAUUGUAUUAUUGAUUGGAAUUGGUAUCGGCUAUCACUAUUGUUACAUUCAUUAUGUGGGAUCUGGAUCAAAAUGGAAUAAGACGAGCCAAGCACAUUAUUUCUAUCACGCGUUCAAUAAAUUUAUAAGAGAAAAUAUUCAUCGUAUCACGAAACGCGAAUUGAAAGCAAAUGGAAGCGAAAAUAUUGGGUUUGACAACAAAACAUAUUUAUUGAAACGGACUCCUGUGUUUAAUGUUUCAAAAUCUUAUAUUGUAAUGUAAUUUAACAUAAUGUAUAAGGGAAAAUCAUAAACAUAGUUUAUUAGUA